rnacentral:rRNA from 1 species
UCUACAGCCAUGCUACCCUGAACAAGCCAGAUCCCGUCUGAUCUCGGAAGCUAAGCAGGAUCAGGCCUGGUUAGUACUUGGAAGGCCUGGUUAGUACUUGGAUGGGAGACCACCUAGGAAGACCAGGUGCUGUAGGUG